GCACAGAACCUUACCAGCCUUUGACAUCCUAGGACGAUUUCCGGAGACGGAUCUCUUCCCUUCGGGGACCUAGUGACAGGUGCUGCAUGGCUGUCGUCAGCUCGUGUCGUGAGAUGUUGGGUUAAGUCCCGCAACGAGCGCAACCCUCGUCCUUAGUUGCCAUCAUUUAGUUGGGCACUUUAAGGAAACUGCCGGUGAUAAGCCGGAGGAAGGUGGGGAUGACGUCAAGUCCUCAUGGCCCUUACAGGCUGGGCUACACACGUGCUACAAUGGCAUCUACAGUGAGCAGCGAUCCCGCGAGGGUUAGCUAAUCUCCAAAAGAUGUCUCAGUUCGGAUUGUUCUCUGCAACUCGAGAGCAUGAAGGCGGAAUCGUUAGUAAUCGCGGAUCAGCAUGCCGCGGUGAAUACGUUCCCAGGCCUUGUACACACCGCCCGUCACACCAUGGGAGUUGGAUUCACCCGAAGGCGGUGCGCUAAC
rnacentral:rRNA from 1 species